AGUUUAAUGCUGGUAGUAUCGUAGCCUAUGAGGUAAAUCCGAGGUGUGAUUAUUGCCACUUGAAACUUGCUGUAAGAGCAGCAGCUCUCUAAAGCAUAUACACUCUUUUUAUUAAGAGUUAAUUUGCUGAACUUUACUAAUCAU